rnacentral:lncRNA from 1 species
AUGGAGAGAAAAGUUGAAACAAAACCACCAAUCCAUGAAGAUGUCUUUGUGGUUGACCUCAUGAAUGCAGGAAACUUCUGUUUCAGCUGUGACCAAAUAUUUCAAAGUCGUAAAUGUUUGGAGGAACACUCGUGCACAUCGGUGAGUUUCAUCUGCUCCUGCGGGACUGAGUUCAGAGAAUACGAUGACAUGCAGCAGCACAACACCACACAUGAGCCAGGGCACCAGGUGCUGGAUCACGAGACCAUUAGGAAGCGCAGGAUGGAAAAUCGCAAAAAGGAGGAGGAGAAAAUUAAAAGAUUGCAGAAAGGUGAGGUUGUCUGGAACACUUCGACAAUGGAAGGUGGCUCUUCUUCUACACUGCCCAUGAAAUCUCUGGUGCAAGUACGUAACACUGCAGCUUCUGAUUGGUUCCCUUCAAAGUCACCAACAUGUUUGCCUCCAAGUGUGGUCCCAGCUAUGACAGACAUGCCAAAUAUUUUCCCAGGUGCAGGACCCGGUGCACCCACCGUGGACCUUUGGACACUCUAUCAGCCAGUUGUAUUGUUGAACAUGGAUAGCAAGAUUAACAAGAAAAUGCCCUACACAUGUGGUAGAUGUGGACAGUCUUUCAUGAAAAAGACCGAACUCAUCUCCCACCACAGCGUACACGUCACAGAUAAAGUUUCUGGCUGUAUAGGCUGUGGAAUGCUGCUGUCCAGCAAGAAGAUGGUGCCUCGCUUCCAUGCUUGUAACUCGUCCAACAAUACAACCAAGUUCAAAGUCAUCACCGCUAGGCCUCUGAACUAUAAGGCGCCUAGUGGGGCUAGCACAGACAUGAGAGCGAAUGCAGGUGCCCAGAUGCUUCCGAAAACGUCCUUUUUACACGCUAGAAAACCCAGAGCAGGCGUUAGAGGUGGUCGUAGGCCUGUCGCUUCUACUCUGCAGCAGAACAACAAAAACAACACUGGGUAUGAAGUGACUCCAACGUUGUUGUUUAAAAAUAGGAACAUCGGCGCAUCCAAACCGUUUGUGGCCAGCCCCUUUCAUGGUAAAACUAAGAGUCUACAUUCCACUGCCCUCAACCAUAUAAAUUUAGGUCGCACUGCUGCUCCUUCUGUGCAUAUAAAGCUCCCCACACACUCUCAGUCAGGUGUGGCAGGAAAAUCCUCCCUGAUGUCUUCCAGUUCCUCUCAAGGUGCAUUCACGUGCAGAGUCUGUCAUUUUCCAUUCGAGUCUGCUCUGCUGCUUCAGAGGCACAAGUGUAGCAAAGCAAAGGAGUUCAUGGCACACCAUGUGAGAUUCAGCAACCAGCCAUUCCAAGCCAACAGAGUUCCACCUGUGGCAUCCUCAAGUUUCAAUCAAAUGAAUGGUCAGAGAAAGCCUGCUCCAGUGACAAAACAAGUCACAGCUGUGAGCCGCGACAAGAGACAAGGGGGUGUUCCUGUGAAUGGGAAAACAGAUUUGGAAAGUGAUGACGAUUGUUACAUUGUUGAAAGCCAACCGGAUAAUCCCGCUGAGAUGAUUUACCAAAUAACCUCAUCCGUUCCCAUCAAGACUUGA